GACUACCCGCUGAACUUAAGCAUAUCAAUAAGCGGAGGAAAAGAAACUAACCAGGAUUCCCCCAGUAACGGCGAGUGAAGAGGGAAUAGCCCAGCACCGAAGCCUGCGGUAGCUUUACUGCUAGGCAAUGUGGUGUUUGGGUUGGCUCGCGGGAUUGCCGCUCCACUCGAAGCCCAGCACUGAGUAUGGUUCCCUGGAUUUGGCCCAGAGAGGGUGAAAGGCCCGUGCGAGUGGAGGUUCAGACAUGUGAGGCAAUUCACCAGGCCGGCCUUCGAGUCGGGUUGUUUGGGAUUGCAGCCCAAAGUGGGUGGUAAACUCCAUCCAAGGCUAAAUACUAGCACGAGUCCGAUAGCGAACAAGUACCGUGAGGGAAAGUUGAAAAGUACUUUGAAGAGAGAGUAAACAGUACGUGAAACCGCAUAGAGGUAAACGGGUGGCGUCAAGCUGCAAGCCUAGAGGAUUCAGUCGGUCAGCAUGUGUGUGUGUUUGCGCGCGCCUGGCGCGUGUCAGCCGAGCUGGUGGUCCGCCACGAACAGGUGGGCCCCGCGCCUAUGCCCCCGUUAAACGGGGCUAGAGCGGGGAUCUGCGUGCCGGGCGGUAGCCGGAGCAGGCUGCCAGCUACAAGGGUUGGCUGGCCGAUGCACUUCCUCUAUUUGGUGAGCACCACGACUGGUGGAACUGCCGGUCUGCUGUAGCCGAGUCUCUGGCGUUGUGAGCAGUGUGCUGGUGGUGUGUGGGCUCUCUCUUGGGCCUGCAUUACCGGCAGUCGCGACUCGCAGUGCUGGGAUGUGACAGGCGAGAUCAGUGAGCGGCGUGUGUGGGCAGUCUUUGCCUGCCCGCAGGCGUGUUAUCGAGCACUGCUCGUGAACAGGGCGUUCUGUCGGUGUGUUCGCGGAUGUCCUCCGCGUGUGCAGUCGCCGGCAGAGUAAUGUCCUGGUGGGCUACGGUGGUAGGAAUAACUGUGCAGGGCACCAGAGUUGUCGGUCUCUAGUUCCAGUCCACGCGCACACUGCACGUGGUCGUAGAAGGUGGAGGCGUUGUGCAGUGGUCUGCUGGGGAUUUCGGGUCAGUUGCCGUGUCGCCUGCGCAAAGCAGGCCCGGUGAUGGCCUGGCCUCAGGCGGUGCCACGAGCAGGGCCUCUGGCGUGGACUGGCGAGGACCCAGUAGUCAGUGGUGUUGUGGUAGACGAGCUACCCGACCCGUCUUGAAACACGGACCAAGGAGUUUAUCAUGCACGCGAGUCAGCGGGUCGACGAAACCCUACGGCGCAGUGAAAGUGAAGUCUCUGUGUGUCUGUGUCUGCCUGCCUGCCUUCGGGUGGGCGGGCGCGCGCGCGCGCAGAGACGUGGUGAGAUGCUGCUGUUCCUCGCAUCCCUCCUGUGCCAUGUGUGCAGGUGUGCACAUCACCAGGCCUUUCGCAAGAAAGAAGCAGAGCAGCAGCCGCAUCACCGGCCCUUCCC
rnacentral:rRNA from 1 species